AUGCUUCUUAUUUCCGUAUUCAAGCAAAUCAUGAGAAGGAAACUUUUCAUCAGGCAUCUUAAAGAUGGAGUUUCGGUUGCAUCCUCCCAUGAUGAAAUUAAGAACAUCUUAUAUAAUCAUUUCAAUGUUCCUUGUAAAACUCCCAUGCUCAGGCAGUACACCAUGGGUCUCGACUUCACUGGGACGAACAAUAUAUACCUAUUCAUGCGAAUAAGAAAUACCGUUGGCAGACGACAAAAUCGUUUGGCGUGA
rnacentral:rRNA from 1 species